CAGUAGCCGCGGGAAUACGUAGGUGGCAAGCGUUGUCCGGAAUUAUUGGGCGUAAAGGGCUCGCAGGCGGUUUCUUAAGUCUGAUGUGAAAGCCCCCGGCUCAACCGGGGAGGGUCAUUGGAAACUGGGAAACUUGAGUGCAGAAGAGGAGAGUGGAAUUCCACGUGUAGCGGUGAAAUGCGUAGAGACGUGGAGGAACACCAGUGGCGAAGGCGACUCUCUGGUCUGUAACUGACGCUGAGGAGCGAAAGCGUGGGGAGUGAACAGGAUUAGAUACCCCGGUAGUCCCUGUCUCUUAUAC
rnacentral:rRNA from 1 species